UACGAAGGGGGCUAGCGUUGUUCGGAAUCACUGGGCGUAAAGCGCACGUAGGCGGAUGUGCCAGUCAGGGGUGAAAUCCCGGUGCUCAACUUCGGAACUGCCUCUGAUACAGCACGUCUUGAGUCCGGAAGAGGUGGGUGGAAUUCCUAGUGUAGAGGUGAAAUUCGUAGAUAUUAGGAAGAACACCGGUGGCGAAGGCGGCCCACUGGUCCGGUACUGACGCUGAGGUGCGAAAGCGUGGGGAGCAAACAGG
rnacentral:rRNA from 1 species